AUUGAACGCUGGCGGCAGGCCUAACACAUGCAAGUCGAGCGGGGUUUUCGGACCUAGCGGCGGACGGGUGAGUAAUGCGUAGGAAGCUGCCCGAUAGAGGGGGAUACCAGUUGGAAACGACUGUUAAUACCGCAUAAUGUCUACGGACCAAAGUGUGGGACCUUCGGGCCACAUGCUAUCGGAUGCGCCUACGUGGGAUUAUAUAGUUGGUGAGGUAUGGCUCACCAAGGCGACGAUCUCUAGCUGGUUUGAGAGGAUGAUCAGCCAAUCUGGAACUGGGAAACGGUCCAAACUCCUACGGGAGGCAGCAUUGGGGAAUAUUGGACAAUGGGCGCAAGCCUGAUCAAGCCAUGCCGCGUGUGUGAAGAAGGCCUUCGGGUUGUAAAGCACUUUCAGCGAGGAGGAAGGGGUGUGUGUUAAUAGUACACACCUUUGACGUUACUCGCAGAAGAAGCACCGGCUAACUCUGUGCCAGCCGCCGCAGUAAGAC
rnacentral:rRNA from 1 species